rnacentral:ncRNA from 1 species
GUCCUAUACAGAUGUAUUCAACGCAAGGCAGUUGAGCAUCUCCCUUUAGGAUGAAGUUUAAUUAGAAGCUUUGACAAUAAUUUUCAUUGUGUGGCUAUGUAUGUAUAGUUGAAAUGAGACGCGUCAGAGUGGAAUAGGUUAGCCGUAAGACCUUGAGUUGGAGAACUCUAAAAUUGAGCUAGAGAUGUGAAUUACUAAAUUUAGUAUUUUCUAGUUACGGUAUC